GAAGCGAAAGCCUAUUCGCGCACCCCUGGUAGUGAUGACAACGUUCCUGCUGAAAUCAGUAAUACCAACGACUCACCGACUUUACUUCAGUGACAGUUAUUACCUCGUUGAAGUACAGUACGUUAAGACACGAGUAGAAAACGUGGUCGAAUUGAAUAAGUUAUAAUUUGUGCUAUUAUAUUUAUCAGUUAAAUAAACACCAAAAUGUAAGUUUCUUGAAAUUAUGCAAACAUGUAAAACUAAUCUGGAAUAAAUUUACAGCUUAAAGCUAUAUUGAAUUACGCUAAAGGAUUGUGUUAUUUCUAACCUCGUCGUGACGGACUUCCACGACAUUCUGAAAAUUUCUAACCUCGUCGUGACGGGUUUCCACGACAUUCUUUAAGAUUGGGUUAAUAGAUUGUAUAGGCAGUUCAAGAUUCUCAACUGUACGUGCAUUUAUUAAACUAUGUUUUCUGUGUUUACCCUUCCCGGAUAUCUGAAGCUUUACUACAAGAGAAUCGUUUUCGAUUCGAGAAACAUUCCCAGUCCACCGAAGAUGCAAGGGGUCAUGUAUACCUUGCAAGCCAAGCUCAUCGACUAAUUGAUUUUCAAUCAAGGUUACCUCAGAACCUUCAUCUAGUAACGCGAAAGUGCUUAUCUUUUUCAAGCCACUAUACAAUGUUACCGGUAUUACUCGGUAUAGAACCGUAUGACCGGCGCUAUGAUGAUUUUGCGGACUGCUAAGUGUAUUUGAUGGAAUUGGUGAGUAAUGAAGCAAAGGGUGAUGACGCAGGCGACAUCCAUCUACAGAACAGUCUUUGGGUCUUCUACAAGGCCACGGAGCGUGACUUUUCAAACAGGAUCUACACAGCUCAUGCUGUCUCACCAUCUUCCAUUUUUCUCCAGGACUGAGUUUGCAGAGAGAAAAUGAUGCUGAAUCGGUACUCGGUAUUCGCUGGCAGCCACAAACGGAUGAAAUAUUGUUUUCGACACAAUUUUCUAGUUCCGUUGGCCAACUUUUGGAUAAAAUCGUUCGCCCAACUAAACGUCAAGUUCUUCGUGUAGUCAUGAGCCUCUACGACCCGUUGGGCUUACUCGCGUCUUUUUUGAUACACGGAAGAGUGAUUAUUCAAGACAUCUGGCGUACGAAUUGCGACUGGGACGAUCAAAUCGAGGAUAGCAUUUAUGCCGACUGGAAAAAAUGGAUUGGUUUUUUUCCUCGUUUAAAGGAAGUAAAGAUUCCUCGAGCAUAUUUCGGUAAGAGUGUUCCGGAGCGUUGCCAUCCUAUUCAACUACACGUUUUCGUCGAUGCGAGUUCUACAGCGUUCGCGUGUGUAAUCUAUGUCCGUUUUAUCGAAGAUGGUGAGCCGCGAUGUACACUCAUCGGAGCCAAAGCCAAAGUGGCUCCAAUCAAACCUUUGUCUAUACCCCGACUGGAACUGCAGGCGGCCUUGUUGGGCACUAGAAUGCUGCAACAUGUGAUCAAACACCAUAAGCUACCGAUUUCGGGGGCCUACAUUUCUCUGGAAACCUGAAAAUUCAUGGCCGUCACAAAACUGGGGAGCAUUUUCGACAACUGAAUUACCUGAAAAUGAACAACGAGUAGUGAGUAUCCAUCGGAAGGAGUUAACUGGGACAAUAAUAAAAGUUUCGAGAUUUUCGAAAUGGGAAAGGUUGCUACGGACUGUAGCCUACGUCUUUCGUUUUGCUAGCAGAAGAAAUGUUGUCAACAAUCGUAACUCACUUGAACUGCUAGAUCAGCAGUUUCAACGAAAGGCGGAAACAGCUUUGUGGAAAAUAGUUCAAAUGGAUUCCUUUCCAGAAGUAAUAGCGGCAUGGAAAACCGACAAAAACAAUAAGCCUUCGGGGGUGGAGCCGAUAUACCACCCGCAAUUCAAAACAACAAUUUUUAUUGAUGAUGACGGAGUGAUUAAAUUGGAUGGUCGUAUCGGCGCCGCCCCCAAUCUGCCGAUCGAAGCUAAGUAUCCUAUUAUACUAGCUACGAACCAUCCAAUAACGUUUCUUUUCGUAGAUUACUACCACCGCCGUUUCAACCAUCGAAAUCGUGAGACAGUUUUCAACGAGCUCCGUCAAGUCGUCUACAUCCCCGGAUUACGUAAUCUUAUUAGAAAGGUUACUGCACGAUGUCAGUGGUGUAAAGUUUACACCGCGCUCCCCGUUCACCCUAAGAUGGCACCGCUACCACAAGCCAGAUUGGUAGCCUUCCAGCGACCAUUCACAUACAUUGGACUGGACUAUUUUGGGCCGUUACUCGUCAAGGUUGGGCGCAGCCACGUAAAGCGAUGGGUGGCGUUAUUUACAUGCUUGACCACACGAGCUGUUCACAUGGAGGUAGCCCAUACUCUAUCAACGAUUUCCUGUAAGAUGUGCAUUCGCCGGUUCAUAGCUCGAAGAGGCGCCCCGUGUGAGAUCUAUUCGGACAAUGGCACCAAUUUCCGUGGUGCAACGAGUGAACUGUCGAAACAGAUCAUUAGUAUCAACCAAAGCUGUGCGGAAUAUUUCACUAACACAACCACUAAUUGGUUCUUUAAUCCUCCUGCGGCUCCUCACAUGGGAGGCGUGUGGGAGCGGCUCGUGAGAUCAAUCAAAACCGCUAUGGAUUCCUUCAAAACUGCUCCACGCGUACCCGAUGAAGAAACCUUUGAAACAAUAAUUCUAGAAGCUGAGAGUAUGGUUAAUACUAGACCUCUAACGUUUAUACCGUUAGACUCGGACACUCAGGAAUCCCUAACACCAAAUCAUUUCCUAUUGGGCAGCUCUAGUGGAGUUCGACAACCACCAUGUGAUCCAACAUCAGCAGUCGAGUGUUUACGUAGUAGCUGGAACUUGGCAAAACAUAUUUUGGAUGGAUUUUGGAGCAGAUGGUUACGAGAGUAUUUACCGACGAUUGCGAGACGAACAAAGUGGUUUGAAAACGUCAAACAGCUGGAACAGGGUGAUCUUGUCUUCAUAGCAGAUGAGGGCAGACGGAACAGCUGGAUUCGUGGACGGAUCGUACAGUUGAUUUUAAACCGAGAUGGAGUUCCACGGCAAGCAAUCGUAGAGACGGAAUUCGGCUUGCUUAGACGCCCAGCCGUAAAGCUCGCUAUUAUCGAUAUAAAGGAAAAUUGUGAGACCGUGUCUAGCGGUGAGAACCACACUCUGUCUCACGUCCCGGGGAAUGUUGGGGAAGCGAAAGCCUAUUCGCGCACCCCUGGUAGUGAUGACAACGUUCCUGCUGAAAUCAGUAAUACCAACGACUCACCGACUUUACUUCAGUGACAGUUAUUACCUCGUUGAAGUACAGUACGUUAAGACACGAGUAGAAAACGUGGUCGAAUUGAAUAAGUUAUAAUUUGUGCUAUUAUAUUUAUCAGUUAAAUAAACACCAAAAUCUUAAAGCUAUAUUGAAUUACGCUAAAGGAUUGUGUUAUUUCUAACCUCGUCGUGACGGACUUCCACGACAUUCUGAAAAUUUCUAACCUCGUCGUG